GGGGCCAGUGUUUCCUCCCCUUGGCGCUGUGCCCAGCUUGCAUUGCUUUCCCCAGGAACCGCCAGCCGCUUGACCGUCCCCUUUCUGGGCCUCACCCUUGUCAGCCCUGAUGGGAGACCAGACCUUGGCAACUGAGUCUCACCCCUUUGAAAUAUUUAUUCUUGUCCCCAUUUUCCAGAUGAGGAAACUGGGCCUCAGUGCGGUCAGCGUCCACAGCUUGAAGGUGACAGUCAGACUUUGGAUGAUGGACUGAACGGAUUAAAGAGCUGGUGUGCUUUCCCGGGUCAGGGGCUCUCUACCACUCCACCGUGUCUCUUGCAAAGUGUUUUGUUUAUUAGCCAAGUCGGGUGUACGAAUAUUUACGAGAACUUUCCUCAUGUGUAUUCAUCGCAGCCUAUUAGGCCUGUUCCCUUGCCCAGGGAAGGAGAUCAACCAUUACAGAUGGAAAUCAGGUUUCUUUUCAAUUGCCCGUGACUGACAGCUGGUGGCUGCUGUGUAGAAUGCGGUGUUGAGAAGGAUUCAGAGGCUGCUAGUCGGCUCUGUGGGAAAGGUGCCAUAUUGAUUAGUGAUGUCUGCCGUGAGCACAGGGAGAGAUUAGUGAUGUCUGCCGUGAGCACAGGGAAAGAGAGUGGCAACAAGUGUCUCCCGCCGUCCCUUGGAGCCUGGUGUGACCCUAACUGGUCCCUCUCUCCACCCGGUGGCAGCUGGCUAAACUGUAGGCAAAAUGGAUGGGCUUUAGGGCGGUGGUUUGCAAAGUCACGUUGAGGUGGAAGAACGGGGCACCAACCAGGAAGUAUUUUCAAACAGACCCCUCGUCCACAGGGUGCAGCAGAAUCCAAGGGGAGGAGAAGGGACAGGGAGAGCACUAGUAGUUUUGAAAAAAAGGUCUCCCCAGGUGAUUCGAAUCUGCCGACUUCUGCCCCUAACCUUGAGCAUCACCCUUUUGGGGCUGAGAAAGAAAAUUGUCUCAAACUUGGCUCAAAAGAGAAGUUUCUGUUGGUUGGAAUGGAGGCUCCUUCUGGGAAGCAACCGAUGUCCCUGGUAAAUUGCCUCAACACUUUUGGGCUAUGUUAUAGAUCACUUUCAGGACCGCUGAGAAUCUCAAGUGAGGGGCUAUCCGUGAAGUCUCCUUACAGGACGGAAGAUUCUAGAACACAAAGGAGCCGUUUGAUGAGCUGUGUUACUGUUAACCAGCGUGUUAAGAGUGCUGCAUGAGGAGUUCCACAAUCUAGAUUCUUUCCUGGCAUCGCUGCCCUGAGACAUCGGUGUGUCCGUCCCUUCUCCAGGCUUUGGGUUGCCCACCUGUCAGGAAGGAAGACUAAACAAUUUGUGAUGGAACCAUAGCCUUUGGUGUCAGGACCUGUCUCUCUCUGAAGUUUUUGAUCCACGAUGCCAUUUCAUUCUCGUGACACACUUGGUGAAGAGGGUGUGAGAGAGAGAGAGACCGAGACAGAGAGAGACGAGGAGAGACAGAGACUGGAGGCAAUUCUGAGUGAGAGACAGGAGGUGAGAGGGUCUGAGAAGCAGGGAAUCAGAGUGCCAGGGCGGGGGCUCAUUGAGUCAUGUCACUAAGACCAGAGGGAGGAGCAAGGCUGGGGGCUCUGGCGAGGCCCCCUCGGACCCAGAACUCUGGUUUCUAAAUGCCUUCUGGGCCCACUUGGGGAGGCUAGUGGCUGAGAAAGCCCUUCUGCGGGGCAUCUACACAGCUUGCGGGAUGCUGCUAUGCACCUGGGGCCGCGCCAGCAGCUGGCCCAGGCCUGAAGACCUCUGGCUCUGCCGGCAGGAGAAGUGGGUGGUCUUAAGGACCACGGGCCUAAGUGGAGCUUCAGGGUUUUGCCAGUUUCUCAGAGUUUGCUGGUCAGGCUGGCGAGAGAAGGCGGGGGGUGAGGCUGUGUUGGGAUAUUUUUUGCUUUUGCUAUUUUACUCCCUUAGAGAGGGAGGGGGAAGGAAGGGAGAGGUUAACGUGGUGCAAGGAGAAGGAGAGAGGAGGAGGGAGCAGGAGGUGGGUAGAGAUGGGGGUUAUUUUUUGCUAGGAAGCAAAUAGUGACAUCCUGAAAGACGAGGGAUACCAAGGCCCUUUGUGUUUUCUGCGUGUCCACUUCUGGAUGCAUCUGGAGCCGGGAGGGUGUGUUCCUAGUCACCGGGGAGUUAAACACAGCUGUCUGUUCUCCUGGCCAUUGGGGUGCAUGUCACGGAGAGGCGGUGGGAGCCUGGGUGCUCUAUUUCUGCCCCAAUGCCCGUCCUCACAGUCUUGUCCGGGUCUGCGGACAACUGAGGACAUACAUAGACACGACACAGGAAACGCAAUGGGUGUGUGUGUGUGUGUGUGUGUGUCCAAGGCCAGGAGGGUCUAAAAACAGUCCCAAAUGAAGAGGAACCUCUGUAAUUUACCUGAACUGAGAGGUUAAGUUAGCAAGCUCCCUGUAAAAAUCUCCCCAGCCCUAUCCCAAUUGCUCAUCCUGGAGCGACAAGAGAGGGGCAGCAUUCAGAAACUGCAUCGCAGCAUCGCGGAGCAAGGAGGAAGGUCUUUGGCAGCAGUGCCCAAGACACUCGUACCAGUGUUUUAAGCGCUCUCCCUUCGCUGAGAUCCCCAGCUGGCAGCCCCCUGGAGGACAAGAUGGGAAGAGAGGGGCAGUGGUCAGAGUGGAGGGCCGUAGGGGACUCUCCUUCCGGACCCAACUGUCUCGUUGGAGAAAAUCUGCCACCAAGGAGGGACGCCCUCCAGCGACUUGGGAUCCAUUCUCUAUGGAGGGUUGUUGUUACGAUGCUAUUCUGACUCCUGGCUUCUCUGCCUGCAGGACACCUAGGCGGGAACCUGCUGCAGCGCGAAGUCAUAGCUGCACUGUCUGGUUUUAAAGACCUUCCGCCAAUCACCACCCCCUCACUGAAACUUUUCUCCCACUG